AACGCACCUUGCGCCCUUUGGCCAUUCCGAAGGGCAUGCCUGUUUGAGUAUCAUGAACACCUCAACUCUUCAUGGUUUUCCAUGGAUGAGCUUGGAUUUUGGGGGUUUUGCUGGCCUAUGGUCGGCUCCUCUAAAAUGAAUCAGCUUGUCAGUGUUUGGUGGGCAUCACAGGUGUGAUAAGUAUCUACGCUUGUGGUUUUCCACCAGUUAACCUUCAGCAGUGGAGGUUCGCUGGAGCUCACAGAUGUCUCUCCUAAGCGAGGACAACCCUUUGAAUGUUUGAUCUCAAAUCAGGUAGGACUACCCGCUGAACUUAA
rnacentral:misc_RNA from 1 species